UAGAUAUAAGUUCAUUCAGAUUUAUUAGAAUAUCCAGUUCUAUUACAUCAACCGUACAUUUUUGGAAUAAGAAGAACAGGGUUCUGAUUAACUUUUUUGUAUUAACUGAAAAUACAUACGGCUAUCAUGGUUUUGCUCUCAAGCACAAAUGAUAUCGAUGUUUUAUGGAUCAUUCAUUACAAAAAAAGAACACUGUGUGUAACUUGCCUUUGAAUGGCUUUCAAAAUGUUCAAAAUUAUAAUUAAUAAAUUGAGAAAACAAUGUUUUAUUUGAAUAAAACGGGUAAUGGUUGCUAAAAACCUACUAGCACAGCUGAUGGAUCAAUUAGGACUAUAUCUAGACGACUUCUCAAAACGAUUGCACAUUCCAACGAAAAGAGUAAAAUGUCUUUGUAUUGGAUAUUGGAUUCGGAGGAGGAGAGAAAGGUGAAGCGAAUAGGAUUGGAAUGGGUGAACUGGGAGCAACAACACGAGAAUGGUACAUAUAGACGGUAAGGAGAUCGUCGAGUGGAAGUUCCAGGCAAAUGGAGGAGAGGAGUUCAAUUUAGUGGGUGUACGUGCAACCGGAAUUGGGCGCGCGCUUUUUGUUAUUGCUUUAGCGGUACAGUAAAUACAACCUAAGUGAGCUUUCUGUAUACACCUUCAAAUGCGUGUGUGUAUUUAUUGUGGAUGUGGAAGGUGCCAAAU